CGGCGAGUGAAGCGACAAAAGCUCAAAUUUGAAAUCUGGCACCUUCGGUGUCCGAGUUGUAAUUUGAAGAAGGUAACUUUGGAGUUGGCUCUUGUCUAUGUUCCUUGGAACAGGACGUCACAGAGGGUGAGAAUCCCGUGCGAUGAGAUGUCCAACUCUAUGUAAAGUGCUUUCGAAGAGUCGAGUUGUUUGGGAAUGCAGCUCUAAGUGGGUGGUAAAUUCCAUCUAAAGCUAAAUAUUGGCGAGAGACCGAUAGCGAACAAGUACAGUGAUGGAAAGAUGAAAAGAACUUUGAAAAGAGAGUGAAAAAGUACGUGAAAUUGUUGAAAGGGAAGGGUUUGAGAUCAGACUUGGUAUUUUGUAUGUCUUGCUUUCGGGUGGGGCCUCUGCAGUUUACUGGGCCAGCAUCGGUUUGGACGGUAGGAUAAUGACAUUGGAAUGUGGCACUACUUC
rnacentral:rRNA from 1 species